GUGCUUACUUCCACAACAUACAUACAUACUAGAAUUGAAGCAAUAUAAAGACGAUUAGCACAGCCCUUGCACAAGGAAGGUACAUAUAUUGUAAAGGCUACAUUUUCCUCU